UGCCCCAUAGUGUAAUUGGUUAGCACAUAAGACUUUGAUUCUUAGAUUGUUGGUUCAAGUCAAGCUGGGGUAA
rnacentral:tRNA from 1 species